AAGUCGUAACAAGGUUUCCGUAGGUGAACCUGCGGAAGGAUCAUUUCCAAAUUAUCCUUUUUUUCGCUGGUUGUGCUGGUGUGCGCAUGCGCAUCGCAGAUCCAGCGAAAAAAAACUAACAUACAAACACCAAUGGUAUUCUCCAAACGUCUAACACACGCAUUCUUUUCAUGUGUCUUGUCGUACGUCUGCGAAUCCUCGCCGACCUACAACAAGACACGCGAAAAAAAGCACACAACAAAAUACAACUUUUAACAACGGAUCUCUUGGCUCUC
rnacentral:misc_RNA from 1 species